UAAGAGCUUUCCUUACACUAGAUGUCAAGUUGUCCUUUGCAGGAGCCUCUGCUGGGAUACAAGGGAAGCCCUUCAGCAUCCCCUUCAUCCAAAGCCAGAGAUCUCUCCCUGAUUGAUUGAACAUCCUUCAGUUCUUUCCCUGUGUAGAUCUGAAUCUUUAUCUCCUACUGAAAUUUUAUGUACACAAGAUAUGGGGAACUGGGUCUGAAUUCACUGCCUUGACAAUGAAUUUCAAUCUUAUGCUAUGUCCUUCCUUGAAGGUCAGAAGAGGCUCCUUAAAUCUGAGAGCAAUGUAGCACCAUAAAUUCCAGUUCCUUGUAUCUGCUAAAACCAUCUCAAAAAUCUAGUAAAUAGAAGAGUAAGCCUCAGCCUGUCCUGGUAUUUCCUGUUACCAGAAGCCAGACCUCUGGGGACUCAUCCAAGGUGGCCAC